CUUGCAAAAGUAAGACCUACAAUAUUUAUAUAUAUCACGGUUAAAAAUUAUCCAACUUACUGCUGACCCAUGUUAAAUAUAGUUAAUUCAAAUUUAUUAAAACAUAUAUGAGCGAGUUAUAAUUCCUAACCUAUUUUAUUAUUUUACCACCCUAGAUAUAGUACAUCUUUCCGUAUUCAGUUCUUGGUUGGAGCCGCAAAUUAAAAUAAUAAGCAAAGCUUCCUCGACCACUUCUUCCAUCAUAUGCUGCUUGUUCGUGAUUUGGAUUAUCAUGGUUUCAUCUCAUGUACUCUCUUGCGCGGAAAUUAGCCACCACUCCCAGCAACCGUUACCAAUCCUUUCCAGCAUGACGCAGUAGUUUGGGACGCUGUACUGACUACAACCGGUGCCGUACAAACAGUAAUCGACAGAAAUCGCGGAGGAAGUAAUACGGCAUCAACUAAAAACCCUCCUCCACACCACGGCCAAAAGCGCAAAUGACGGAGGAAGUAAAAUGGCAUCAAAUAAAAAUCAUCCACACCACGGUCAAUCUGCUAUGCCAUCAGGACGAGUACCAAAAGGUUCAAAAGUCUCAAAUCAAACAAAUUGACCCAUUGAGGCAGUCGUAUGGGACCACGUAUGCCCGGUGCCGUAUAAAUUAACGGUCAUCCAUAGAAGUAUAAGUUGGUAAAACCGAAACAAGCAAAGCAGCGGGUUCACAUAUUUGUGGGGGGAAUUUUAGUCAUUUGUAACCUCACAUUCCUUUUAUUUGGAUGAUAUAUAUAUAUAUGAUCAGCAGUGCUACUCAAAUAAAAGUGCAUUCUAAGUCCUAGUUUAUUAUUUUAAAUGUACGGUAUGAUUUUGUUUUUUAUAUAUACAAGAUAAUUUUUGUUA